rnacentral:sRNA from 1 species
UCUACUUCCCUGCAUUUCAUAAUAGAAAAUAUCUAGUGAAGGGUCACAAAAUGCACCUCAGUUAUAAAUGAACCACAGCAUACUUCAGAAUCACAGGAUCUAUAUACUGUAUGUAGGGACACUUAUUUAAUUAUAUAUAUUGAUGGUGGAAUGAGAAAUUUUGUGGAAAUAUGAAGUUGCAGUAUCUAAUGUCAUAAUAACAGGAAUUGAUUUAUAGAAUUACAAAUGAACAGAUAUGCAUUAAAUGCUGUCGUAGAGUUUACCCACCCUUGCUCCUCUCUUAACAGCAUUUGUUUGCAAGUUGCAUGAUUUUCCAAAUAUGAAGAUGUAGGGAUGUCUGCAGCUACUCUGUUGUUAAAAACACUGGAAGCCACAGACAAACUGAAUGAUCUUCUGUGUCCUGGGCUUUAGCAUCAAAGGCAUAGAGAAACACUAAAGUUACACUGACUUGACACAGCUUCUAAAGCUCUGGACAAACCUUAUAGAAUAGGUAUAUUACCAUCUAAAAAGGAGCCUGCCUAAAAUUCCUCCAGAAAUCUCCCACAUAAAUACCCAAUUAAUAAAACAAAUGCUACCAUGCUGCUAAACAUCAUUUAGGUCAUGACUUCAUAGGACACUCAGUGUUUGUGCUAUAAGUCCUCUGUGUCAAUAAUCUCCAAGAUUGAUAAAAUGAUUAGGAAGCACAGCACACUGAUGACGAUUUAAUCAUAAAUUGUUUUUAGCACUAAUUUAAGAAGCGAUGAUUUUAAUCCACCACCAUAACAAAAUAUGUUAGUUUUUCUCUUUUUUUCUGUGUUCAGAAACUAGCAAAUAUUGUUCCUUCAAAUUGAGCUUAAAAGGAGCACACAAUUGCACGAGACUCAGGUUCUGAGAAACACCUGGCUUCAAAGGUGUUUUACAGCUUCAAUUACCUACCCAUGCUGGCUGCAACUCAGAAAUCUGCUAGCACAAAAGUUUAUCCCUGGCUUACCUUAUACACACAUUACCUGUCAUGUUGAUGAAUGGGUUAGCUCUCGUAACAAAUGCUCAUCAAGCAGGAGUAGGGGUGGAUUUAAGAAACGCUUUCAGUGAUAAAACAUAUGAAGAUGAAAAGAAAGAAACAAAACAACUGAGACUUUACAAGGGGGUAGAGGGCAAGUCCCUCAGGCUAACUGAGAACUGUGUCAGUAGAUCUGGGCUGAGUGUAGGAAGCUCUGAUAGGGAAGGAGAUCUGAAAUCUCAACAUAGACCCAUGAGCUACCUGUCAACAGAUUAAAUAACACCAAAUAGACCAAACGAAGAACUGGAGCUUGAUUCAACAGUCAAAGUAAAAGCCCCGUGUAAGCGUCAGGCUCACUGAUAUGGAAAUGGUAUUAAACCAGAAGUGAGACUCAGAGAGUAGUCAUCCACCAACAAAGAGGAUAAACUACAUACACAUCACAGAAUCUUUAGAAAACAACAGAGGUGAAAUAGCUAACAAUUCAUCAGUCCUGCACCUGUGUUUCUGAGAUGUAAAACGAACUGGAGGAAAUAAAUUUGAAGGUUUAGCAGAGGGCAGUGCUGCUGGCUUACUGUGGUAGGUCAGUCAUUAGGGUUGAAAAGAAGCACUGCGAAGGACAAAAAAGGGUUUGAUGCAGACAGGAGAGAGAAAGGCUUAUGAGACACCACAUUGAAGACCAAGUGUGUGGACUGCUUUCCUCAGCAAGGGCUUUUAUGCCUUGUGGAAUAUGUUCUGAUUAUAGGAAUAUGGGAAAAUGCCUUAUGUCUAUGAUGAACUUAUUGACUAUAACAUCCAAGUUGAUUACAUGCUGCCACAUCCAUGCCAUUCAAUGAAGAAUGAAAAGCACAAUGAAAGAAAAAGAAAUGUGGGUGAAUCCAGGCCAGUCUAUGUCAUAGGGAAGGAGUGGGUGCAGACUCAGCACCAGCAAAGCAGGAGUCCUCUGCAAGGCAUCCAGGAGAAGAGACGCUAGAGAUUUACAGCUGCCCUGCACCGCUGCAGAAGAAACAGCAGGGACAACAGAAACAUGUGUGGUGGUGACUCCUGGCAACACAUGGACUCAGCUGCCUUCCAGUACAGACCCAAAGUCACGGCAUGUCCCAGAUUCUAUCUGUGGCUUGGAAAAUAAGAUUCUCAAGCAUUUAUCCUUGGUCAGUACAAAGACCACUGCUUUCAAUCCGUUUAUUUCUGUGUCUGAGUUUUUAAUCUUUCAAUAAAUCAUUCCUUUCAGAAAA